UACGAAGGGGGCUAGCGUUGCUCGGAAUCACUGGGCGUAAAGGGCGCGUAGGCGGCCAUUCAAGUCGGGGGUGAAAGCCUGUGGCUCAACCACAGAAUUGCCUUCGAUACUGUUUGGCUUGAGUAUGGCAGAGGUUGGUGGAAUUCUCGGUGUAGAGGUGAAAUUCGUAGAUAUCGAGAGGAACACCGGUGGCGAAGGCGGCCAACUGGACGAAGACUGACGCUGAGACACGAAAGCGUGGGGAGCAAACAGG
rnacentral:rRNA from 1 species